UAAGUCAUCAAGAGUGGGAAAAACAAACAGAAGUUACAAAAUGAAUCUACUACACGUAUCUACGGAACGUUUCUAUAGUUGCACCGUCCUAGUAGCCAUUAUUCUCCUGGCAAUUCCAGAUGGAUACUUUUGUAGAUCCGUCUUUUUGGGGUCAAGUUACCUAUAAGAAAACACUAACUAUGACAAGGCAGCUUACUGGCAUUAUAUUCGUGGAUAAUGCAAAUAAUGAACCUACCAUAUGGAUGAGUCGAUGGCCGCCUUGCUAUAACCCGGUUAUCAUAAUCACCUCUCGAAAAAAACUACCCAUCAAUGUUACAAUGACGGCGUACUACAAUUAAAGCUUGUUCACAAAGCCGAUCAUGUAUAAUAAAACAAAGCAGAUAAAGUGAAUUUUAAAUGUAAGAAUUCCAAAUAAAGAAUUUACCUGAUACUAUUAUAA